GAUGAACGCUGGCGGCGUGCCUAACACAUGCAAGUCGAACGGACUUUUCAUGAAGCCUAGCGAUUGAAAAGUUAGUGGCGGACGGGUGAGUAACGCGUGGGUAACCUGCCUUGUACUGGGGGACAACAGUUGGAAACGACUGCUAAUACCGCAUAAGCGCACAGCUUCGCAUGAAGCAGUGUGAAAAACUCCGGUGGUACAAGAUGGACCCGCGUCUGAUUAGCUGGUUGGUGAGGUAACGGCCCACCAAGGCGACGAUCAGUAGCCGGCCUGAGAGGGUGAACGGCCACAUUGGGACUGAGACACGGCCCAAACUCCUACGGGAGGCAGCAGUGGGGAAUAUUGCACAAUGGGGGGAAACCCUGAUGCAGCAACGCCGCGUGAGUGAAGAAGUAUUUCGGUAUGUAAAGCUCUAUCAGCAGGAAAGAAAAUGACGGUACCUGACUAAGAAGCCCCGGCUAACUACGUG
rnacentral:rRNA from 1 species